rnacentral:piRNA from 2 species
UAACCAGGUGUGAGCUACAGGUCUCUGU